UCAGGACGAACNCUGGCGGCGUGCUUAACACAUGCAAGUCGAGCGGUAAGGCCCUUCGGGGUACACGAGCGGCGAACGGGUGAGUAACACGUGGGUGAUCUGCCCUGCACUUCGGGAUAAGCCUGGGAAACUGGGUCUAAUACCGGAUAUGACCUUCGGCUGCAUGGCUGAGGGUGGAAAGGUUUACUGGUGCAGGAUGGGCCCGCGGCCUAUCAGCUUGUUGGUGGGGUAAUGGCCUACCAAGGCGACGACGGGUAGCCGACCUGAGAGGGUGACCGGCCACACUGGGACUGAGACACGGCCCAGACUCCUACGGGAGGCAGCAGUGGGGAAUAUUGCACAAUGGGCGAAAGCCUGAUGCAGCGACGCCGCGUGAGGGAUGACGGCCUUCGGGUUGUAAACCUCUUUCAGCAGGGACGAAGCGAAAGUGAC
rnacentral:rRNA from 1 species